rfam:Triticum urartu cultivar G1812 contig578299, whole genome shotgun sequence.
AAUGUACUCCCUCCGUCCGGAAUUACUUGUCGGAUGAAUGGAUGUAUCUAGAUGUAUUUUAGUUCUAGAUACAUCCAUUUUUAUUCAUUUUUAAGAUAAGUAAUUCCGAACGAAGGGAGUACGUC